AGUGAACGCUGGCGGUAGGCCUAACACAUGCAAGUCGAACGGCAGCACAGUAAGAGCUUGCUCUUACGGGUGGCGAGUGGCGGACGGGUGAGGAAUACAUCGGAAUCUACUUUUUCGUGGGGGAUAACGAAGGGAAACUUACGCUAAUACCGCAUACGACCUACGGGUGAAAGCAGGGGAUCUUCGGACCUUGCGCGAUUGAAUGAGCCGAUGUCGGAUUAGCUAGUUGGCGGGGUAAAGGCCCACCAAGGCGACGAUCCGUAGCUGGUCUGAGAGGAUGUGCAGCCACACUGGAACUGAGACACGGUCCAGACUCCUACGGGAGGCAGCAGUGGGGAAUAUUGGACAAAGGGCGCAAUCCUGAUCCAGCCGUGCCGCGUGGGUGAAGAAGGCCUUCGGGUUGUAAAGCCCUUUUGUUGGGAAAGAAAAGCAGCAGGUUAAUACCCCGCUGUUCUGACGGUACCCAAAGAAUAAGCACCGGCUAACUUCGUG
rnacentral:rRNA from 1 species